rnacentral:tRNA from 1 species
GAGGGUAUAGCUUUGUGGUAGAGUGCGUGUCUAGCAUGCUUAGGGUCUUGGGUUCAAUCCCCAGUACUUCCA